GGGGAUUUAGCUCAGUGGUAGAGCGCUUGCCUAGGAAGCGCAAGGCCCUGGGUUCGGUCCCAAGCUCCA
rnacentral:tRNA from 1 species